rnacentral:rRNA from 1 species
CGAAAGCGUGGGGAGCGAACAGGAUUAGAUACCCUGGUAGUCCACGCCGUAAACGAUGAGUGCUAAGUGUUAGGGGGUUUCCGCCCCUUAGUGCUGCAGCUAACGCAUUAAGCACUCCGCCUGGGGAGUACGGUCGCAAGACUGAAACUCAAAGGAAUUGACGGGGGCCCGCACAAGCGGUGGAGCAUGUGGUUUAAUUCGAAGCAACGCGAAGAACCUUACCAGGUCUUGACAUCCUCUGACAACCCUAGAGAUAGGGCUUUCCCUUCGGGGACAGAGUGACAGGUGGUGCAUGGUUGUCGUCAGCUCGUGUCGUGAGAUGUUGGGUUAAGUCCCGCAACGAGCGCAACCCUUGAUCUUAGUUGCCAGCAUUCAGUUGGGCACUCUAAGGUGACUGCCGGUGACAAACCGGAGGAAGGUGGGGAUGACGUCAAAUCAUCAUGCCCCUUAUGACCUGGGCUACACACGUGCUACAAUGGACAGAACAAAGGGCUGCAAGACCGCAAGGUUUAGCCAAUCCCAUAAAUCUGUUCUCAGUUCGGAUCGCAGUCUGCAACUCGACUGCGUGAAGCUGGAAUCGCUAGUAAUCGCGGAU